GAAUCUGCAUUUGAACUCAAAGCCCAACCAGUUCAUAUAAGCCAUAAAAGUAUGAGGAGCACUGAUACAAAAUUACCUUGGCGUUGUCUUCAUCCAGCGCAAAGGAGCAGAGGUAGGUAGACUAUCUGCCAGGGGCAAGCUGCCUCCUGGGGGGUGAAGUCUUCCCAGGAUUACUGGUUUACCAAAUGCAGCAGGCAGGUUGAUCUGGGCCUGAGGGUGGUCCUGCAGCAGAGAGAAGCAGAUGCUGGCUGCUAGGAGGGAGGCAUACAACUAAGAGAAUGGGAAAGAGGCCCUAGAGGGGAGUGGGAAGAGUGUGGAUUUUGUCCACUGCCUGUCUCAUGUGGGCAGAUUGGAUCCAAUUUUAUCACUCUCCACUUUAUCCACUGUUGCCCACAGUAACCUCUUUCAGAGGAAGUGAAAACACUUGAAACCAGACGUCCUCCCAACUAGCAGCCAGGCUGCCAGCUGAAACAAGUGUGACCAGGUUGGAGAAACAGGGAGAGACAGUCUUAGCCAACCUGAUUUCUUUCUCAGAAAAGGACAAGGGCAGAAGGAAGAGCCUGGAAUCCUGGAGCCCAGAAAACCCAGUUCCAGGAGGCGAGGAACUCCUGGGAUGCAGUAGGAGCAUCUUUAGGAGGCAAGAAGCAGCGCGGCUCCUCAGGACUCGGAGGAAGAAGGAGAGAGGCUCCCAGCAGGACCCAGCAGGCCGGCUGGAGGCAGAGCUCCACAGCCACCUGCAGGAUGGGAGCUGGCUUGCAGGGCCAGGCUCUGCCAGAGCUUGGAGAGCAUCUGAGAAAGGAGUCAGCCCAGACGCUGAUUGCCAGUUAAGUCUACCUCCCGCAAGGGCAAGUGUACUUGGCCAGGAGACCAUGCCCUCCCAGCUCCUAAGGAUGAAUUUUCCAUCCUUGAAUUACUUUUCCUUCCCCCCCCCCCUUUUUUUUUAUUUAAAUAAGUAAGAUCCACCCUGUGUGUGGAGCCCAACACGGGUCUUGAAUUCCCAACCCUGACAUCAAGACCCGAGCUGAGAUCAAGAGUCGAACACUUAACCCACUGAGCCACCCAGGCACCCCUCCAAGGUUGACUUUCUGGUGUCAGCUGGAGGGGAGAACAUAUCCUUAUGUACAAUUCCUCCAGUCACUCCCAGUAGAAAGCUUUUCUGGGUUCUAUUUUUGCAGCCUUUGCCCUGCCCAGUUUUGGGGGACCACUCUAGAGUCCUUUAUAACCCCUGGUGUCACAGCAUGGGGUGGGGGCGGUGGUCCUGGGCUGACCUAGGCUCUCAGCAGCCCAGGCCAGCAGCGGGGAGGGGAUGGAACCGAGCUGGUGGGCCCGGGAGUGGGAAGUCAGGAGAAGAGCAGGCCAGAGCCCACGUCCUGGGGGUCCUGGGGAAGGAUGAGGGUCAGCGGAGAGGAGCAGAAUAAAUCAAAACCCUGUUUUUACGGGUACA
rnacentral:lncRNA from 12 species